CCAUCUCCAUCCUUGCAGCGGCUGAGUGUUCUCUGAAGAUUGGACCGUAUAAUGUAUAAGUUUAAUGAUACAUCGUUAAGGUUUGAUUGAAUAUGGAAAGUAGAAUAAAGUUAAAUAUCUCUAUAGCUAUAAUUACGAAAAAAACGUAUUACUCAAAGGAUAAAAUUACUUAUUAACCCUAUUUUGAUUUAACCGUGCACUCUAGAGAUUAUAUUUGGGAUUAAUCUGUGCCAUCUAAUUAUAUGAAUCUAACUGCUAUGAUCGGCUCCUAUUUUAUAAGCUUAUACUAUAAGUUGUUUAUAAGCUUAUUUUGUUAAAUACUUAUCAAGAGUUUAUAAAUUUUUAAAUAAUUUAUAAAAUGCUUACACCUCUAAAUAGAUCGUUAGGCUUGUUAAGGUACCCCAACUUGAUGAACAUCCACUUGUUUACCAAUGUGGAGAAGAGAUGGUAACUCUAGGGGUUGGGAGAUGAUGAAUUGGUUAAUCUAAGUUCUUUAAAAUAAUUUAUAAUCAAUUUUAAAGAAUUUAUACGUUCUUCUAUCUCAAUUUAUAUCAUAAUUUUAUAUGUAAUAAUUAUUUUAUAGAUAUUAUUCAAUCAUGGUUUAUUAUUUUCAUCAUAUACCCUUUCAAAUUCAUCUCUAGCUCUUCAAUUUUCUCUAUCUAACAAGAUGAUCCUUUUCUAACUAUAGAUUCAAUUAUUUAAACAUUUUAAUAAUUUAUAAACUUUUAAGAAAUUACAUCUUAUAAAUUCUUAAAACAUAGUAUUAUAAAAAUAAUUAAGCUCGGUCAAGCAUUCUCAUAUUGUCUGGUUGUCCAGUAAAAGUAUUGUGAGGCCCAAUAUCCAUUUCUAACAUGGUAUCAGAGCCAACCCAAUCCAAUGAUGGGUCCCCCCAAUAUCGUUGUCAACGGAUGGCGUUUGGGAUAAGUCCACGCUGCGCGUGCGGGGGGUGUAUUGAAGUGUCCCACAUUGGAUUGGAGAUAGUGGCAUGAGCCACUUUAUAUGGUGAGGCAACCCUCUCCCUUAUAAGGCCUUUUAAGGGAGGAAUGGGCCCAAUAUCCAUUUCUAACAACAACAAAAAAAGUUGAACUUGAUAUUUGGAAUGACUUCAUGUGUCCCACAUUGGAUUGGAGAUAGUGGCAUGAGCCACUUUAUAUGGUGAGACAACCCUCUCCCUUAUAAGGCCUUUUAAAGGGAGNAUAUAUAUAUAUAUAUAUAUAUAUAUAUAUAUAUAUAUAUAUAUUAGUGUGAAUAAUAAUUAAUUAUUUUAUUUAAGUGAAAGUUUGGGAGUGGGCUUCAGCCCACCCUAGCCUCCACAUGGAUCCGCCUCUGAUGACUAGAAUUAAUGCUACUCCACGUGAUUGCUACUUUGCAUUGAUGAGUUAAUUGUUAAAACGGGAUCAUAACUUUUAGUGUUUUUCAGAAAGAGUAAUACAUGUUACGAAAUUCGAAAAUGAGAACUAUAGAUUUCAUAUUUUACAUUUACACUUCUAUUUCGGGCUAAGAUGGAAGUUGUAGCCUGUAGUCUUCAUUUGAUGUGUUAAAUAAAUUGAAAACUAUAGUCCUCAUUUUUAAAUUCCGUAAUAUAUAGUCCUCUUUUAAUCUAUAAGAGAUGUAACAAAACAGAAGAUAGUAACCAAACCUUCACACAACAGGGCGAUAAUGUGAUGUUUUCAACAUGUUGGAUGCUUGGAAGAGUUUGAUUAAAUGAGCCUCCAAGAAAAUCUUUUGCAGAUAAAAAGCCAUCAAACCCAGAAAAGUCACAAAAUUCUUCAUCAUCAUAAAAAACUUCCUUUAAUCUGUAUUUUUAUUUUUUCAAGAUUUGGGGUCCAAAUUCUCAGCUCCAUAUACCAAUCUCCUAGAUCAUAACUACUAUAUAAAAACUUCAACAUCGACAACUCUUUCAAACUAGUAGAUCGAUCGGAUACACAAACUCUCACCUCUCUCUACAAACGACAAGGUCAAGACUUCCAAUCGAGGGCUAAAUUUAUUGAUCUACGACGUCUGAAGAUAUUUACACGAGGGUUUGGGGGUGUGGGAGCCCCAGAAGCAAUUUUUUUGAGCAUUCCGUACACUUCAUUUUCAUGCAUUUUUUUAACAAUCACAUAAUAUAAUACAUAAUUGUUUGCAAUUCAAUUAAUUCAACAUCAAGUAGAUUGAAAAGCAUACAAAAACAUACUUUUAUGCAUUCUUUUAAAAAAAUAUAUUUCAUUUUCUAAACAAAUAAACUAACUUUCAUUGUUAAUAAUUAGUAAUUUUACUUUUCAUUAACUUUAAAAUGGACUCAAAUUCAACAUUAAAAAUUAAAUAAGAGAAUAGGAUAAAAAUAACAUAAAUAUAUAACAAAUCGAUGUACAAUGUCAAAUCAAUGUACAAUGUCAAAUAAUUAAUAUGGAUAGUUAGAUAUAUUAUAAAUAAUGUAUUAUAUUUUUUCUUCUAUUUCUUAUUUAUAUACAUAUAUAUAGAGAUAUAAAAUAAAAUAUAUAUCUAUAUUUAAAGUAAAAUAAAUAAAUAGAUAAAUAAACACUCAAAAUUUGGGAGGGGCUUCAGCCCCCCUAGCCCCUGAAUCCGCCACUACCGACGGUAUUUGGUUAAUCACAUGUUCAGUAACCCCAAAACCUACAGUAAUCGUUAAACUCUUGAGUUGAUCCCCUACAGUAAUUGUUAAAUUCUUGAGUUGAUCCCACUGCACAUCCGAUCGAGUUCGAUCGAUAACUCCACAUCCGAGUUCGAUCGAAGCUUCUUCGGUAGCAAACAACUUCGCAUCGUAAAAUAAAUUAAUGAAGGGGGUGGUGGUCCAAAGGUUUAUCGAGCGCUUGGAUAGAAUAAUUGUCUUAACAACAUCGUUCAUAGGCAACAACCAAAAGAUGUGAAAUAUCACCGAUUUCGGCAGCUCACUGAGUCGAUCCAUCUAAUGGUCUCCCAAAUCGAAUCCUGUGAAACAUAACUAACUUAAAAUUUACCUAAACAUAAUCCGAAGCAAUAAACUUGUCAACUCUCGAAGAUUGAUUACCUCGAAAUUAACACUUAGUGGGAUAGUUAGAGAGAGAAGGGGUUGACGGUGAGGGGAGGCGGAUAGGGAAUUGGGGAUUGCAAUUUCUAGGGUUUGCUGUUAUAUAUAUAUAUCGAGAGAGAAAUGGGAUUUUGUAGAUCCUGAUAGUAUAUAGAUCUAAAUUAGAACCAUACAUUUUAUUCAUGUGGCGCAAUAGGAUCACGACAUGUAGCGGAGGUCUUCUAAGUUGGUGGCCUUCAAAAAAUACACGGAUGGUAAAAAUAGUCAAUACAAAUUAAGAUAAAAAAAAAAAACGAAUACCCGACGACUGACGGGUACCCAGAGGUCGCACCGUCCAGCGGCCGCCGGGUCGCUUCUUCACAAAGACACAUUGAGAGCUGCACUCGGUGGCCGCCUUGAUUACACCGUAAAUAUGCAUGAUGUUGCCAUAUGGAUAAUGUUUAUAUAUAUACACAUUUGUAUUCAAUUAUAUGUAUAAUUAAGGUGUGAGCACUAGCUUUCCUCAAAAAAAAAAAAGGUGUGAGCACUAGCGAAAUGCACCUUCGCGCGAGCACCUGGUAUAUGCGGCCACCGGUAUUUUUUUUGUUUAAUCUUAAAUAUUAAAUUUAUAUCUCUAUUCUAUCUCUCUGUGACUUUUUUUUUUAAUCUAGAAAGGUAUCUGUUACAUGUCACGAUCAUAGUGCGUUAUAUAAACACAAAGUACAGUCCAGAUUUGGAUCUAUACAACCACCUCAUUUUAUCAAAUUUACACUAGUGUAUAAUCCCAUUAAAAUUUGACGAGAAUCAUUUGAUGUUUAAUUUAUAAGAAAAAAAGAUGUAGAAAUUAUUUCAUAAUAUGUUUAUGAAUUAUAGAGAUUUUUUUACUAAAAAAGUAGUAACGUGACAUAUUAAACUAUACAUAUUAAUAAAAAACAAAGUCUACAUACAUGUCAAACUAAAAUGAAAAAGUAUAUUAAAUAUGACUUCCAUCCACCCUUUUUAUUCUACCCAUUUCAUCUGCAAGAAAUCCAAAUAAAGUGAACAAAAUUUUUAAAUGAUUAAAUCUCAUAGCAUGAUACCUCACAACCUAUUGAAAACUUCAUUAUAUUAAUUGAAUUAAAUUUAUGGACUUGUACAUAACAAUAGAAAGAGCCGCCUUAAUUUCUCGAUCAAACCUCAUACCCACCUCGGCUUUAAAAAGAGUGAUAAAGCUAACAUCAAAAUUCGACGGGAAUUGAUCAAAAUUGAGCUCCAGAUCCUCAUUCUUGAUGUCAACAAUUUUUUUCUCUUUGUAUAUCUCUAAAUUUGGAUUGCAACUUCAUCUUGGCUCAAUCAAAUAAAGCACCUACAGGUUUAUGUGAUUAACUUGUGUGGCGUAUAANUAAAUGACAAAUUGAAGCAUGAACUUGCACUCAAACCGGACAUGCAGACUCCAUGUUAAGGCAAACUUUUAUACAUAGAACUCAUAAUGAAUAUGUGCCUAGACUAAAAAGCUGAAGCAUGUUCGACUGAUCAAGCAAAUGGAUUAGUAAUUUAAUUAUACAUCAUUCCCAACAACCCUUAGCAUUAACUUGUAUGAUUCUCCACUAUGAAGCCGUUUAUCGACUUGAGCACAAAAUUGAUCAAGCAAGUGUCCCCAAUCGAUCUCCUUGCCCCAUCUCUCAGUUCUUGCUGCGACAUGCCAUAUUCGCGCCCGGGAUUCUCAUUCUUGUGCUCCUUCAACAGAUCAACGAUCACAAGGAGCACGUGCUCAAGCCUUCUUGCAGGCCAUCUGUAGCUCUUUCUCAUCAAAUCCACCAGUUUCUCGAACCCAAUUGGAUAUUGGGCCCAUUCCUCCCUUAAAAGGCCUUAUAAGGGAGAGGGUUGCCUGACAAUAUAAAGUGACUCAUACCACUAUCUCCAAUCCAAUGUGGGACACUUCAAUACACCCCCGCACGCGCAGCGUGGACUAUCCCAAACGCCAUCUGUUGACAACGAUAUUGGGGGGGCCCAUCAUUGGAUUGGGUUGGCUCUGAUACCAUGUUAGAAAUGGAUAUUAGGCUCAUUCCUCCCUUAAAAGGCCUUGUAAGGGAGAGGGUUGCCUCACCAUAUAAAGUGGCUCAUGCCACUAUCUCUAAUUCAAUGUGGGACACUUCAAUAUGACGUGACAGUGGAUGAUGAUGCAAGGUGAUAAGAAGAUGACCGGAGUGGAGGUGAAGCUUGGACCAAACAAACUUAUGGCCUGUUUGAUCGAUGCAAGGUAAUCUAUCUUUUAUGAUUUCUCUCAUUCAAUUCCUUUUGGAAUUUUUGUUAUGAUCAUUAUAUUAAUGGCUAUCUAUGACUAGCUAUUUUAUUGUUACAAUGUUGAUUAUAGGUUUUGAUUUGUUUGUAUUUGUGUGAUGCGUUUUGUUGCUCUAUUAAUUAUUCUUGUCUAAUACCAAAUUAACCACAUUAAUUGAUCUAGCUCUUUAUAUAUUUCUUAAUGUGCUACAAUUUCAUGAUCUAUUAACUAGCUAGGCAUCUUCAAAUACUAAUUAAACUGUAAAGCACGUUACUAAUCAACUGAGAGAUUUUAUUAAGUGUUUAAUUACGACUUAAAGUUUUAAUUACAAAAAAAAGCUCAAAGAAAUUUUGAGAACCGACUUAAUUAAUUGAUCAUUCGUUAUUAACUGGUAUUAGAAAUUAUUGCUCUACGCCAGAUUUUUGGUUUGAUUCGGUUAUAAUUUUAAAAAUUUCAACUAGUUCGGUUUGAUUUACUCGUCUUAUUUGGUUUGAUUUACUUAUUUUAAAUCAAAUAUAAAUGAGAUUUGAUAGUCGAUCGAACUGAAAACCAAAUGAUAGAUAUAUACUAUUAGACUCGGACAAUAAAGCACAAUUCAAUUGAUAAGACGUUUUUCCUUCAUCCAUGAGACUCGGGUUCGAGUUGUUAUGGAAGGCGAAAAAUAGAUUCAUUAUUAAUUUUUUUUUUUCAAAUAAUUGCUUUUAGACUUGAAAUUGACAUUCAGUCCCACAGUUUUCCACAAAUCAUAAAUCCAAUUUUCUUGAAUAUAUUCCCACGUACAAAUACAAUGACUAAGUGCCAAGACAUAAAGCAAAAAAACUUUCAUAGUCUCCACCCAAUUAAAAAAAACCUUCUUCAAAAUGAUUAACCAAACCAAACAAGAAUCAAGAAUUCCAAAUUAAUCCAUUAUCUUUCUAUUCUUGCUUAUAUUAAUUAUUCAUCAUAAUCCACGCUCUUGUGCUUCGAUAUAAUUAAUUCUAAUGUAUCAGAAAUGAAAUAAUCGAUCAAAUUGGAUUCAUGCAAGUUUAAUUGGAGCUGAAUUCAAGUAAUGAAAAAGUAGAAUUAAAUUGAAAAUAAAUUAUCCUCAAGAUGCAGCAGCCAUUCUUGAACGUUUCAACCAUGCACGGUCAAAUGGGGACCAUGUGACACGAAACUUCCCUCACAGUCACACCUUCCAUUCCCAUUACAACAUCUCGAAUGAUUAAUUGAAUGAGACUACGAUCACUAAUUAGUUUAUAUUAUCUUUGGGAGAAGCUAACGAUCAUCAGAUUAUAGUUUUUAAUGGAAGUUUCAAGCCAUAACAGUUCAAAGACAAGUCUUAUCGUUCACGAAGAAGACGCAAACAUAUCAGCAUUCCGCCGAAUAAACAAGGUCCUAAUCCUCUCAUUAGUGUUCUUAAUCAUCUUAUUAACACUAACCUUAGCCGCCUUAAUCGUCUACCUCGUGCGCCUCGACAACAACGAUUCUCCGUCUCCCGCGAGAGCAUACUGCUACGUCAAUUCCGACGCUCCGGCGUGUUCAAGCAUCGUCAAUCUCAUCAUUAGCGGCAAAUUCGUCUCAGAUCCAAAUCAGAUCUUCGCUCUCUCUCUCCAAGCAGCAGCCGAAGAUCUCCAACGUUUGAUCGCUUCAUCAUUAAUUGAGUUCAACAACUGCUCCAGCUCGUUGCGCGAUGCGCUGGAUCAGAUCCGUGACCCGCUGGCUGCGAUGCGGGUCGACCCGUUUGUGGAGUUCAAGAGCGACGAGCAGAGGGGAGAGAUGAUGAAUCGGAUCGCGGCGGCGGCGGAGGACGUGGAGACAUGUCUGGAUAAGAUUGGUGGUGGCGAGGAGCUGGGGAAGGUGAAGGCGUAUUUGAAUGGCGCCGGAGAUUUUUUGAUCGGCUACGCGGAGGCGUUGCAGAUGUUGGAGACGGAUAAAUGGGCGAGGGUUUAUAAUAAUCAUGAGAUUAGACAGUUUAGUAUUUGUAUGUGCGUGUCGCAGUUGACGUUCAUUAUUGCCUUGUUUUGCUCACAUUUUAGAAUUGUCAAGUCUCGUCGAGAAUUUUGAGGGAAUUUUUUUCAAAUAUAUUUGACUUAAGUAUUUCAUCAUUGUAUUAUUUAACGAAUUUAUUUGAAUGAAUCGUUGACUUAUGUGGAGUUGGGAAAAGCUUAUUGGCAUUGGAAGAGAUUUCUGAUGAUAUGAUGAUGGGAGUGGAGUAAGUGAAGUUGGGAGUGAAGAAAGCGUAAAAGCGUUUGGUUGUUUGAUAGGAAGAGAUUCCAACUUUUAUUAUUGAAAUGAAUUAUGAUUUUAAUAGUAUCUACCAUAGACAUAUAUUUGGUUACAACUUGUUGAUUGGUUUGCACUCCCUCGUUUUCUUAUUCUUGACUUUGCUCUACUUCUUGACCUGGG
rnacentral:lncRNA from 1 species